UGUAGAUGGAGCAGACCAACAAGAAAUAAAUGAUUUUAAAGAAGAAAUAAGUCUCAUGAAGAAAAUUGGAUAUCAUCGUAACGUAAUGAAUAUGUUUGGCUGUUCGACAGUUAAAAAUCCUUUAUGUUUAAUUGUUGAGUAUAUGGAAAAUGGUGAUUUAUUGCAGUUUUUACGAUCUAGGCGUUCUAAACUUCGUUUUCCAAACGAAAAUGGACAAAAAGCUGGAAGCUUGAUAUACGCAUCAAACCAUUACAUUAAUGAGAGUACCGAAAUAAAAGAAACAAAUUUGAAUUCAGCUCAAGAUUUAUUGUCAAAUGAGAAUCCGUUAGAUGAUACUGAAAUUAUAACGCCCGAUGAUUUACUUAGUUUUGCAUGGCAAGUGGCAUCCGGAAUGGAGUUUCUUUCAAAAAUAAAACUCGUUCAUCGCGACCUUGCUGCCAGAAACGUAUUGGUUGGCGCAAAAAAAAAUGUUAAAAUUUCAGAUUUUGGUUUGUCACGAAAAAUCCAUUAUGAAAUGCAGUAUGUAGGCAGCAAAGUUCGUCGUUUGCCGGUGAAGUGGAUGUCACUUGAAUCUAUUCUUGACCAAGUUUUUACUUCAUACAGUGAUGUCUGGGCGUAUGGUAUUGUUUUGUUUGAAAUUGUUACCCUUGGUGGAACACCAUAUCCGACAUUAAGCAAUCGAGAACUUUUAAGUUUUUUAAAGGCUAAUUGUAGAAUGGAUCGGCCAGAAAAUUGUUCUAGUGUAGUGUACGAUAUCAUGCUGAACUGUUGGAAUAAAGAUCCAUUACUGCGGCCAACAUUUACUGAAUUACGCAAUAAAGUUGAACAAAUAAUAUCACAAGGUGGUCGUUAUUUGAGCUUUGAUAUUAACGAAGAAAGUCCUUAUUACAAUGUUCCCUCUUUUAAUAGCGUCGGAUCCGAAACAGGCAUACACUAAGCAUUUUAUUAGAACUGCUAGUCUAUUAAAAUAAUAAAAACUUUAUGUA